rnacentral:lncRNA from 1 species
AGAGAGAGAGAGAGAGAGAGAGUUGGAUCUGGAUCUAGUGUUUGAUGAAUCUAAUUUAGAUUGGGUUUCCAUUAAUUUGACCUGUAGCCAUCUUAACUAUCUCAGAUUUAGUUUUUUUGCUUAAAGAAAAGAAUAAUAGCUCAGUUUCUUCUAUUUCAUCGUUUUUUCUAUAAUUUUUAUUAUCUAUUUUUUCCAUCUCGAAAUGGUGAUAAAUGUCAUGUCAAAAUCA